UUGUCCUAGGCAGCCUGACCCUAUACUAAAAGAAAUUCCCAGGAGAAGUCCUUGGGUUUUGAAUUUGCAGUAACAGGUAUGAAUAUUCUAGCUCAGUUUGAUGAUCAUUUAUGAUGCUGAAAACAGGA
rnacentral:snoRNA from 1 species